rnacentral:SRP_RNA from 1 species
GCCAGGUGUGGUGGCGGGCACCUGUAAUCCCAGCUACUUGGGAGGCUGAGGCAGGAGAAUUGCUUGAACUUGGGAGGCAGAGGUUGCAGUGAGCUGAGAUUGUGCCACUGCACUCCAGCCUGAGUGACAGAGCAAGACUCUGUCUCCA